CUUAUUGAUCAAAAAGUUGCAGAUUUACUGGAGACACUCAGAUGGAAUUUUGGCUUACUAUACAGUAAGAAGGAAUGCAAUUUCUUUUGCUUUUUAGACCAUAUAUGUUUAAGUUUAGACCUUAAAUCUGGUGCUCGUUCACAGGAUUACUGACGUCAGGAUAUUUCAGAAGUCAAGCCUUUCGGAAGAGAAACUCUUCUCUCUCUCCCUUGUGGGUUCUCCCACAUCCUCCUCAUGUGCCUGCCCCAUGAUGGGACCUUCUCUGAAGCAGCCAUGUAAUAAUGGCAAGCAAUUUUCCUCAGGAGCCUGUCUGGGGUGGCAUCACUGUCUGCUCCUGAUGUUGAAGUCAAACUUAUGCGAACUGAGUCUUCUGCAGGGAUCAGAAUCUGAAGUAUGUAAAACAGACGUAGACUGCAAGAAAGAGAAAUAAUCUGCAAAUCUGUGAAGCAUGUUACUGAGAGGAUGGACUUUUUUUUUUCCUCACCCGUUUCCAUGGCAGAUGACCUUACCUGUAGAAAUAGUUCAGGCAUUUUUUAUAAUAUUGCUCAUAGUUUGCUAGACUAAGUAAAUUUUAUUAUGAAAACCAGCUUAGGUACUUUGAUAGACCAGAGUAUAAAAAAUGAUGCACUGUGACUUAUGUUAUGAUCUGUAACCAAGAAGGGUAAAGAUCUUCUGCCAAGGAUAAAAAUAAGAUAAUCCCAUCAGACUGCCUGAACCUUCAUGCAAGUGUCCUGAAAGCUCAAGCUAAGGAAUUCUGUGCCCUAGCUUUGUUUGCUUCAAAUACAUUUUAUACUACUGGGGAAAACUCCAGGACAAAAGAAUGCUGCUCACGUUACAUGGAGACUCUAAAAGGCCAUGUGAGAAGGCCUGGGAAAUGCUAGGCUGGAUUUCAUGCCAUGAUUAAUUAAAAAAACACCCAGAGGAGGAUCCACUUCAUAAAAGACCAAAAAGAGCUCACUAAAGGCCAUCAGGAUAUUCAGCACAUACAACAGGUGUUUUUCAGCAAAAUCUUAUAUGUCUAAUUAAAAAUGCAAAACCACAAAAGACAUGAACUGGAGUAUAGCUAUGCAUGUUUCCAAGCCAUAUCGACAGUUACUGAUUCAUGUUUCCUCGCUUUGUAGAUACUGCAGCAUUUAUGUCUCCAUUUAUUUCUUGUUAUAUGUUAUUCUUGGUGAACAUAGGGUAUGUCACAUUACCUAAAAGACUGUCCUAUCUGCUUUUUUUGAGUAGUUACAGUAGCAAAUGAAUUGUCUGUAAGCUCAGAAGUUAUUGCUUCUAUCAGAUCACAUUCAUAAUCUACUGUUAAGUUCUGCAACUCACUUUCCCUGCCAACGAUGAACCUUCGGAAAGCUCACAAAGCGACAUUUGAAAGCCUCUUGUCCCUGCAAAUUCUAUUUCCUGGUCAAAGGUGCAAAAGUGUAUUACGCAGGUGCUCAGUGUGGGAAAAGAGAACAAAUUCUGCUUGAAACAUUCCUUGUGCUGUCCCACCAAAGUUUAUGUGUUGAAGGAGGGUAUUCAAUCAAGGCAGCACCUUGUUCUGCUUGUCAGAUUCAGACUGUGGACAAGCACUUGCAUUAGGGGUACACUAAUAAAUGAAUUUAGAAAAGAUCAGCACAAACUGCUAGAAUUUCUUGCAGGUAAUCACUCUGUUUUCUAAAACAUCAACAAAACCACCAAUUUACCAAAAAUAUAAGAUUUAAAAAAAAUUUUUUUAGAAGGUUGAACAGAUAUACAUCAAGAAAUCCCAAAAGAGAGGCCAUAGAAGAUACCUUUGUUCAACAGUAAAAAUUACCAUUGAUUCUCUCAUUGUGCCAUCCACUUUCUAACAUAUUUGGAGCAAGCUGAGAGGAGUCUACUUUCAGGAAGAUUGUGGGUACAGUUGGACAGUAGACAAACAAUUUGGAAUUUUCCUUUUGGCAGGAAUCACUGUUCAUAUCUGUAAUGCUAUGUGUGUAUGUAUAGACAUUAUUAUGUGAUUUUCUUGCUACUUACCUGUAGUUAAGCAGCCAUUUCUUUGGAUGGAUGUAUUGUUAUGUUUAUUAAUGUCUAAUUAUCAGUGAUUUUUUUGCUGUUGCUUUCCCAACAUUUGUCUUAUAGCAACAACAUCAUGGAUUUAAUUAAUGACUAAUGGAUGUGUUUAAAUAUCUCCAGAGCCUUGUUCCAUAAAACUUGUACCGACUGUAAUUCAUCAGAAGUCCCUGAUAUAUAAAAAAAUAGGUGUACCUAUUAAUGCUUGCUUUUAAGUUUUUUUUUUUUUUUUUUUUUUUUUUUUGUGAGAGCACAGAGUUUAUUGAAGGAGUUAACCUUUACGCAUUUUUGGAGCUAGUCACAAAACAAAAAGAAAGAGAUAAGUUGCAGAAACAGAAAGGUAAAAUCACUUGUUAUAUCUAUUAGGUGUACAUGGUUGCACUGAGAAAAAUGAUGCUAAAAUAACAACAUUUACAAUAAAUGCUAAUAAAAAGGUCUGUCUUUUGUAUCCAGUUGUGGCUUUUGUAUCCAUGUACUCUUAUUUAUAUUUUUGGUUCAAAAUCAAAAGCACCAUGGAAAAGACAACAGAACUCCAAUUUCCUUUCAAUCCAUUCAUUUUCCAUUGUGCUUUCCCCCCGGGACUAUUUUCAUAUGUUCCUCUCACAGCAUUAAAAGAUGCCUGCAACAAUCUCAAGUGAUCUCAACAGUCACUUCUUACUCAGGAGUUAGUUCCUUGGAUUUGUUAGUAUGGGCUUAGACUUAGUUCCACCAGCUAAGCAGUUAAACAUUUUGCAUGCAUACCAAAUCUGAGCCUCCCUCUUAAUAUGUCAGAAAAAAUGCUAUUAGGUGAAUAGGAACUUUGCCUACAAACAUAUAGGAAAAAAGCUUCCCAGUGCAUAAAGGACUGGAGAUUAAGCAAACAGGGCAAAUAAGAGCCAGAAAGGUACUUAGAGGUGUCAUUUCCAUUGGUCUGCAGUCAGCAUCCUGAGGAACGUGAGUGCUUUUGUGGGUCUGGCCCUAGGGUUCAGCCUGACAAAAGGACUCCUGUCCUUUGGGGCUCCUGGCUGUGAUGCCCAGCACCAGGUUCCUGACUGGAGAAGUGGAAUUUGAUAUGCAGAGUUGUGUAUUAGGAGAUGCCUCGUCCUAGAAAAAAAAAGAAAAAUAAAUCCAGCUGGUUUGUGUGUUUCAGUAGUGGCUGUGAUAUUGAGCACUAGAGUUAAUGCUUCUAGCUUAUGAGUACUGGUUUGAGAGACUAAAAUUUUCUUCAUUAUUUUCACUGAGUGGUGUUUAGCAGCAGCAUUUAUCUCAUAAAGUUCAGAUUUCACCACAGUAAUUUGCUGCCCUUGGACUCUGCUAUGGAAGAUCAGAGUUUGGACACAGUCAUGGUGGAAGUCAGAAGUGCUUCCUCCCUCCCAUGCCAGGCUGCAGACUUCAGCUGUUUUGGGGUUCAAUGGCAGCUCAGAUCCUCCCAGCUUCUCUUUCUGUCCACCUCUUGCAUCCCUCGGGAGAGAUGAGACAAAUGCUAGGAGAGAAACUAGGCACGCAAGCUGACAGAAAAGCUUCCUUGUGGUAAAGACAAAGGAAUAAACUGGCUGAGGAGGUUGUAUGUAAAGAUCUCCAAUGAUGAAAAUGCCAGAGCCUAGACAAUAUUUGUCAGGAAUGACAUAAAUGUAGUUGAUUUUGCUUUAGGGAAUGAGGCUGGACAAGAUGACCUCUUGAGGUAUUUUCCAGACCUUUGGCUCCGUAAACUGUAUUUGAACUGACAAGGAAACUAUAGGCAGAAUGUUUUAAAAGAAACACAUUAUCUGACCUGUCUGGGGAUCACGUGCCCCCUUGCUUAUUUCCUGUAACAACUCUGGACUCAUCUAUAUAAGAUACUAUGUUGUCUGCGCACUGAUUGCCUGAGGCCAACCCAUUUUAUGCAGGGAUACCUGGCAUUCGUUGUAAGGUAGUUGACUCAACAGAGCUUUGAUUUUUAACCAUCUAAAAGCUAAAAGGUCUUACUUGAGGGUCUUGAUGCUAGACCCUAAUGUCCAAAGAGAAUUUAGAUUUACCAAACACUUUCAGGGGGGUUCAAAUAUCUCCUGCUUAAGGCACUGCUGAAACUUCAUUAACAAGUGUUUGGACUGGAGUGGGUCAUUAGGGAUGGAAAUUAAAAUGUUCAGUAAAGUUUUGUAGAUGUGCUGCAGGACAGGACAAAGCAUAUGUUUAUAACCUGGGAAAUAAAAUGUGAAAGAAAAUAAAGAUUACAACAAGCCUGUCAGAAAUACAAAGAAUUUGUAUCUGCAGUAUUGUUUGUCCUGUGAAGGAAACCAUGGCAUGUAUUUCUUAGUAAUGUCAGCUGAUGGAGCUGAGACCAUAAAAUGUUCCUUGCCACUAGCAGAACAUUUCUAUUGCUAGUUAUUGAUCAUAUUGCUAGUUAUUGUGGAAACAUAUAUUAUAAAUUGCAUUCCUUUUUUUUUUGUUUUUCCUUAUGUGGAAAAAGUUGCUCUGUGGUGAUGCAGAGGAAGCUACUGCCACAGAAAUUCUCUGGAGAAACAGGAGGGCACAUUUCCUUUCCAUAGCAUAUGUUUCAUGUGCCAAAUGACAGGCAGGCAAACAGGCUUGUCAAACGUCUUGCUUUUUCAAGAAUCCUUGUUUGUAUGUGAUGACCCGCUUCUGGCUCAUGGUCCGCAAGUCUCAGACCAGUUGAAAUAGCAUGCUAUUCAAUGAUGGUGUGUUGGUACUGCAGAUGAUAGAUGGGUGCAUAAGGAAGUAGACAGAAUUGCAUAUGCUUUGAAACAGUGUUCAAAAUCACUGGCUAAACUCAACUGUUAACACGGCAGGGAAGACAGUCAGGCAUUUAAAACUAUCUUUAAGUGCACAGGAAAAUAAAAUCAGAAACUGGAAAAUGCCAAGAGGUUGACAAAAGCUGGUCACGACUUGUCACAAAUCAAAAUGCUCCAGACACAAGAAGUCUUUGUCUUGCUUUUGAUACUAUGAUAAUUUAAUUUGUAGCCUUCAGUUCCAUAACACUUUAUUUCUACAUUUAUACUCCUGAUUGGGUUAAGUGAUUGUUGUCGUUUUUGUUUUUUUUCAAUCUGCAGGAGAAAUAACAAAAUGCCACCUCCACACCUCAUCUCAUCUGAGGGAUGCAUCUGGCCCCCAAUUUUUAUCAUUCACUUCAUUCUCGCCAUUCAUUGUCUGGGAAGUUGUCUCCAGGCUGAGAAAUCCACAAGGUUACAGGGGGAAUAAAAGUUAGCUUUGCAACAUGUAAGUACCUUUGAGGAUCCGGGCCCAAAGGCUCAAUGCUACACCAUCAAAGUCAAUAGGAGCUUCCCCAAGUUAGAAUGGGAAAUUGAGUUAACAAUAAGGAACAGCAUUUCCAAAUGGGUCAUCACCGUAGCUGGCCAUGGACUUACGUGGGAUGCCAUUUUCAAGGACUGGAGAGAAUUGGCAACUGCUUAGAAAACUGAGUUCAUAUUUGAGCUGGCCCUCAUCUCACAUCUCAAAAGGCUUCAAGCUGUGGAAGAACCAGAAGAUGGAGGUCAAUUGGAGCAGGGGGAGAACACAGCAGAUCAGAUUCUGGCAUACCUAGUGCUCCUGAGCACUUCUCCUGCAUUACCUAUUCUUGUGGCACACAGGAAAUUCAGUGAAAGAGUUGCUGCCACCUCUCCAUGCUGGUGGGCAGGUGACAGUGGGAACUAAGAAAAGUGUGGAGUAUGUGCUCUGUUCUUUCAAUGAGCUGAGUACCACUCCUACCCUGAAGAGAUACGCCAGCUCCAUGUAGAACCCAAGCAAUUGUAUUACUGGGAACAUACGAUGUAUUUGACCAGAAGGCAGAAGCUGGUGAUCUGUUAUAAUUUAGUGGACAGAAAUGACAAGCUCAUGCCUACACAUUAGCUGCAUGAUUUGAUUCUAUUAAAGAUCCUUACAAAGAGGAAGAGCAGCAGAAACAAGGAUAUGGUUAGAUAUUGUUAUUUAAUACUUGCAAUUAAAAAAAACAAAGAAACCAGAAAAAGUUAAUAAGUAAGAAUAUGAAGACUUGACCUGGAGAAGAAACACUUCUGAAACUAUUUACUAACAAGAAAAACUAUAUCCAAGCAUAUGAGAAUGAUGAGAACACUUAGGAUCAGUGAGCAGAUCCUGCACUAUUUAAUGUUGGGACCAAAAGACUAGGAUGUAUAACUGUACAAUUACACUGAGAAACGUUUAGCUUCCUAAGCAGCGCUAUCGCAUUUGAUGUGAACUAGAUGAAGAAAAAGCCAGUACUUAGUGUUGUGAAAGUAAAAUCUUCUUUACCUGCCUGGCCACAGGCCCCCCAACCCCAACCCUGACUCGUAGGGUUUCUUUACUCUGGUACUUUCAGUCUAAUUACCUGUACCUUUCAAACAAAACUUUAAGAUCACUGUCCUACAAUCUACAAAAGUACGAAUGGCUGAUCUCUUUGACAUCACUGACUUCAUUUGUUUGUGAAAUGCUGCUCAUUCACCCUUCAGAUCCCCUCUCACCUUUCCUCAAAACCUUCCUGAUUUCCAUCCAUGACUGUCAAUAUACUUGAGAUCUCCAGUGUUGCUUUCUAUUAGCAUAACUUUUACUGCACUACCAAUUAUUGAAGUUAUAAAAGAGGGUCCCAAAUAAGGAGAUAAAAGUGAGUCAUUUCAGUGCCUUUGUUUUUGAAUGCCUUUCUCAUGGACACUUGCAAGACAUCUCUGGCUGAAAUAGUAAGUGACAGGAAAAGAAAAGCAGCCUCCAUGCUGCUUCUAGAGGUCUCCAUCUCAUAGCUCCUUUAGCUUCAUAAUAAAAUUUUAACCUUCUUGUUUUUUAAAAAUAUUUUUAAGGAAUAUUUGUGUCUUAAAUAUCCUUUGCUGGGACACUGAGUUUGACUCAUGUGAGCUUAGCCACCAUAAUCUGGCCCCUUACUGCUAGUUGUCAGUAGAUCUGCUGAAUUUGGUUCUUGUUGAAUUGCGUGCAUUACUCAGGCUUAAGAAGCUCCUUUGGACAUUUCUGAGCUUCUUUCCAAGAAGCCAUUGCUUCAGAAGAUCACAACAUUUCCUUCUUAAAACUCUGUCCCUAUGUAACGUUCUACCACUUAAUGCACGAUUAGGUGAAACCAUUUGAUAUGGAAUGGCAUUUAAAACUUAUUGUCAGAAAAUACAUUGGGGAUUAGUUCUGUUUCCAAGAGCCAUUACUGGUGAUGAGAUCAGGAGUGUGAAAUGGCUGCAAGGGCAAAGAAGAAAGCACAACAGCAACCAACUUCUUAAUCUUUCUUAUUACUGCAAACUCUUCUUCCUUUAAGUGAUUCCUUCCUACUUUUUCAAAUGUGAGGAAUACCAAGAGGGGGGGAACAAGAUGCAAAGGACUGCCCUUAUCCUCCUGCCUUUCUACCUGCAUGGGCUGCACCACAAGAUGGGGUACAGGAUGGUAGGAUUAAGAUAUGUUGUAAUGAGGGGAACAUCUAUUCCCCACCUGACACAAUUUCUUGAAAAAAAUCCUGCCUCCCUGUGGCACAAUUCCUCCCUAAGAUCCACAGAGGUUGGGGGUAGGGGAGAAGAGCACCCAAGUGAAACUAUACCUAAUGGGGCAACCAAGCACACUCACAGCAGGAGUUACAUAAAUACGUAAGACAAAAUAAAGUAACAUGUAGGAAGACAGCAAGUGUUAGCUCUUCUCUUAGCUGGAAGAAUGUGUGCAUAUAAGAUUUUUUGGAAGAUGUUCAAAGGGUCUCUUUGUUUUUUGAAACACACACGUUGCUUCACAUUAUUCAGGAAUGUUUCUUUUCUUGGGCCAAUUUCUUCUCUGCAUGAGAUGAGUAUAGAAAAACCUCCAGGAAAGGUGUUUAAAGUGAUGAAAGCACAGAACUCAAAACAAUUUUUAUGGUGCUUUCAUAUAUUUUUCUAUCGUUUUAACCUACUUAAGCACUGGUUUGAGAGGAACUCUUAAAACAUUUGCUUUACACAUCUUGCAAAAGAUUUAUUGUAAUGUUAAAUGUUGUUCUGUGAUAUUUCCAGAUGAACAAGUACAAAUGCAUUCCUGUAAUACAUUUAUUUCUUUGUUUCUCAGGUAAAGAAUAAAAAUGACUUAAAAACAUA